AUAACUAGUUCAUCUAAUGUGGACAAAGAAGAUUACAAAGUCAUUGUAAGAUACACAGCUAUUUUUGCAAACAAUAAUACUGCUGACCUAGAAGAUACGUUUGGAAAUUAUGUAACCGUGUACAAAUGCAGUGCACUUACCUCAGACUGCAGCCACUGCAAUGCACUUAAUUCAACGCGUUACAAAUGUGAGUGGUGCAUAGAUAGAUGUGCCCAUGCCAAUACAACUUGUAACCAACCCACAGAAUGUCCGUCACCUGUAGUCCAUAAGAUCAUACCACGCAAUGGACCAACUAAAGGGGGCACUAAAGUUACUAUAUAUGGCGAAGAAUUCGGAUCAGACAUAUCAGAGAUUGAUUUUAUAUCUAUUGGAGAUUCCAACUGCGGAUUAAGUUCCAACCUCACAGAUUAUGCCAUUGAUG